AACCGAAAACUAGAUAGUCGCCAACGACGAAUCUUACGCUCUGGCCGCUUAAGGCCGGACGCUGCACCGACUGAUUAGCGGGUCGGGCCGGGCAACCGGUCGCAGCGCCAUUAACAGCUAAAGUAAGGGUGCACUCCGCCGCGUGGUGCAUCACGAAAAUCAAGCGGAUCGCCUUUCAUCAGCCUGCCGGGUCGGCGGGUGACGGGUUAGACCAAAUGGCCAGGCUAAGUAUGUAGAACUGUCUGCGUAGGGCUUGCGGACGCGGGUUCGAUUCCCGCCGCCUCCACCA
rnacentral:tmRNA from 1 species